CUAUUGGAUCUUUUGGUCUCUGUUAAUGCUUAUAAGAAAUUAACAGUAAAAAUCAUGCAUAUAUAUUCAAAGGAUUUGUCAGAGUUUCUGUUGUAGAUAUUUUUUAGGUGCUUUUGUAGGAUUGGCAAAGAAAAGGACAACAUGGAGGCAUGAUGGCUGCCAGAUUCGUAUUAGAUUUCAAGAAGUUAAAGGAUAACACUUUUGAUGAAAUUUUGACAUUGAAGUUUUGUAAGAGCAUUGUGGUGGUGCUUGGAGGAGGGUGCAAUCCCUCUUUCUUUUGAUCACAUAUGUUUUGUGCUUUAUGAUUAAGGAUCAUCACUCUUUUUUUUUUUUUUUUUUUUGUUAUUAAGUAUAUAAUGUCCAAAUUGUGUGUUUAUUCAUUUGAGGAAACAGAUAGCUGUAACUUUUGAAUUAUUUAUUUUCAUUUUGGAAAUGUUCAUAUGGGGUUGUCCAUAUAUUGUUCUAAUUAAUUUAGAAAAAUCUUUUAUGAAGUUGUAAAAUUUUGUAUUUGACAAUGUUUGAAGAAAUAUAAAGUUUUGUCAAA